AAGCAUAGGAGGAGGAGGGGGUCACUCGUGGGUGGAGGCGUGGAGCCCUCCUAUGCCGGGCCCGGCCCACCAGUGGGGCCUUGGACCGGGUCCGGCAUAGAAAUUUCCCAAACUAUAUACUAUCGAACGCCGAACGGUACCGUGCGGUUCAGAGAGAGGGGGAGAGAGAGAGAUGGAGGAGGGACUAACAGAGGAAGAAAGGAGGGCUCUGCGGGGAAGCAAAUUCGCGCCGCUUCCUACACCUUCGCUUUCCAAACCCAGGUUAGCUCAUCCUGGCGGGCCGUUGACAACAAACAAGGCUGCUGCCCUGGCGAAGUUCCUCGAAAGAAAACUCCAGGAGCCUAAUGGAUUGGCUUCCAUAAAGCCAGAACUACUUGAUCUAGCUGUCAAGAAUGCGAAAUAUACUGUACAAGCAAGCGGGACUUCACAUUCUGGAAGAGUAGUUCGACAUGUGGACUCCUUUGGUGACUCUGAGGAGAAUUCUUUGGAAGAUGGAAGGGAAAUGGUUCAGUCAAAGGAACACCACAAAAAGGAGAAGAAGAAGAAAAAGGAGAAGAAGAAGAAGAAGAAGGGGAAAAAGGAAAAACAGAAGACAUCUGAGGGCGAUGCAGAUGCUGUAGAGAGGCGGCCUAAAAAGUUGAAAUUGUGACUAUGCAUAUAUCUGGUCCCAGCCCCACGUAAAAGACAUUGAAGGCUUUGACAAACUAGUGAUUAUCAGAAAACCAGCUGCUCCAUCGUUCAAUCAUGAGUAGAACUAGGGAGAAUUCCAAUGAAAUAUCAUUCAAGGAAUUCUGUUUCUAAAUUUCUUCCAAAGUUUUGUCUGAUUGGAUACCGAGACAUGCGACUGUCCAGAUUCCAGUGCUUCUGCAGCAUACAGUGCAAGAUUUCCACAGCGUUUUCUAUGGAAAACAGUCCACCCAAGAAUCAAGAUUCAUGAAUGAUUGUGGAAGGUCUGCUCUUGCUUGUGCAAUUUGCUACGCUUCCAAAUUUUGAACAGAAUCCCAAACUAGUUAACGCUGCUUGAUGGGCAAUUUCACAGUUCAUUUCUACAAGAAUAUGAUAAAUUAAGACGUGCGACCAGAGUAUACCAGAAGCUGAGCUGCGCCUGAUCAAAGCCUCUUUAGAUGUGUUCAAUAAGCUAUCGAUGAUUGGGAAUAUAGAUGAA